rnacentral:lncRNA from 1 species
GCUCCAUUUUAGGGAAAGUUAUAAUUUACAUUGUUCAAAGCUACUGCCUGGCAUAUCUAUUAGACUUCAUAAUUAUUUUGUGGAGGUGGGAGAUGGAAAGAUUAAAAAAACCAAUUCAUGCCAAAGAAAGACCUCCAUGGAUAAGAUCGUUAGCUCUGUAAAAAUGGUAUGAAAAAGAACAUGAGAUGUCAUGUAUUUUAUUAGGAUAACACACUUAAGAUGUAAUAUCAAGUUUUGAGCCAAAACCAGAUAGCGUAACUUUUAGACAUUCUUUCAUCAUUAUGAAGUAAUUUAGAGCCGAAGCAGGGGUGGCUAAUACAGCCUGCAGGCCAGAUUAAGCCCACAAGGAUAUUUCAUCCAUACUUGGCUCCCACUGCGAACAAGCAACAACGUUCAGCUUGGGUGGAAGCUGCCUCACCAACUCUAUUGGUGCUCAGAGCCCUGCCAGUGCCAACUAGCUGCGGAGAGAUGGGAGAGGCCAGAUUCACAGGCCCUUCUGCCUGGUAUCCCACAGGACUCUACGAUUCAGUCCUGCCUGCCACAAACCCUGCAUUGGCAGGUCCAGCUUACAAAAGAAACGAGUGAAAGAAUAAGACAUAGAAAGUUAUAGAAGGCUUCAGAACGUGCACAAUCAAGAUGAAUAUAUUCCUGGUCCAGGAGCUCAGAAAAAGGCAUCAUCUUAAAUGUAUUUCUUAUUAUUGGCUCAGAAUUUUUGUGUCCUGGAAGUAGUACGUAUGCAUGAGACACACACGAUGGAGGCGGCUUUGUGGUUUCACAGAUUUAUUUUUUAUUUUUUUAUUAAGAUUUUAUUAUUUUUUUCCUUUUUCUCCCCAAAGCCCCCAGUACAUAGUUGUAUAUUCUUUGUUGUGGGUCCUUCUAGUUGUGGCAUGUGGGACACCGCCCCAGCAUGGCUCAAUGAGUGGUGCCAUGUCCGCACCCAGGAUUCGAACCGAUGAAGCACUGGGCCGCCUGCAGUGGAGCACGUGAACUUAACCUCUCGGCCAUGGGGCCAGCCCCCACAAUUUGGAUUUUAAUGAAAUAAAAAAUGUCUGACGUGCUUGACUGUAUCAUCACAUAAGAAAAUUUGGAAACAAAUGUCUACAAACACUGAACUUUGCUCUCUUUCUGUUGAGAGGGAAGGAAGAAAGCAGUGUUGGUUUUCACACUGAGACUAACAGUAUGACAAAAAGCUGUAUACGAAAUAAAU